rfam:Saprospiraceae bacterium KD52 Scaffold1_39, whole genome shotgun sequence.
UGCCGUCCGGCGAGCGCACACGACCAGCUCCCGCUGAACUCCCCCAGGGCGGAAACGCAGCAAGGGUAGGUAGGUUGAGCGGUGCGAUGUGUUGCUCGCCUUAUU